UACAGAGGGUGCGAGCGUUAAUCGGAAUUACUGGGCGUAAAGCGCACGUAGGCGGCUUUGCAAGUCGGGUGUGAAAUCCCCGGGCUCAACCUGGGAACUGCAUCCGAGACUGCUUUGCUCGAGUAUGGGAGAGGGAAGUGGAAUUUCCGGUGUAGCGGUGAAAUGCGUAGAUAUCGGAAGGAACAUCAGUGGCGAAGGCGACUUCCUGGACCAAUACUGACGCUCAGGUGCGAAAGCUAGGGGAGCAAACGGG
rnacentral:rRNA from 1 species